UACGUAGGGCGCGAGCGUUAUCCGGAAUUAUUGGGCGUAAAGAGCUCGUAGGCGGUUUGUCACGUCUGCUGUGAAAGCCCGAGGCUCAACCUCGGGUGUGCAGUGGGUACGGGCAGACUAGAGUGCAGUAGGGGAGACUGGAAUUCCUGGUGUAGCGGUGAAAUGCGCAGAUAUCAGGAGGAACACCGAUGGCGAAGGCAGGUCUCUGGGCUGUUACUGACGCUGAGGAGCGAAAGCAUGGGGAGCGAACAGG
rnacentral:rRNA from 1 species